AGAGAGAGAGAGAGAGGAGAUCAAACCUGGAGCAGAUGGCGAGUCUUCAAUCGAGCAGUUGAGAGAGACCAGGAAUAUGGAGCGCGCUUCAAUCGUGUUCUGCAGCGCGAGCAUACGGAAGGGAACGCGGGGGCUGGCUAUGCUCAUUUAAAUGAGUCCCGUGUUCCCUCAAACACACAGGAUAAGGCUGACUGUCUUAUGUAAGCAGCCCAGUCCCCUCUUAUCCAGGAAACAAACGUGCGGUAAACUAGUUCAGUCAGUAGUAUGAAUUUGCUUUUAAAAUACUAACCAGGGGAGCAAACCCAAACUUACCCACCUCGUACCCACCCCUUAUCCUCUAAUUACCUUAAUCAUGAUUAACUACAUGGAUUUAUAAAUUAUAUUAUCUUCUAACUCUAAUUCUUUUCUUUUUCCUUUCCCUCUUUUUCUAAACAAAAUACUCAAACCUAACAAAUUUAGAGACACUCAAGAUUAAACAAAUAUAACAUCUAGGUAUGUAUAAAUACCAUAUUCAGCAAGUCGUUUUUUUUUUUCUUUUUUCUUUUGUUCAGCAAGACCAACUUAGUUUUCAUGAAGAAAAAACUUCCCAAGCAGUUCUUUCCAAAGAUAGAAACUAGAACUGGAGACAAGUCAACGAGCACAAAAAAUUACAAUAUAUAACUCCUUUCAUUGCGAGGGAAUUCAAUGAAAAUCAUAACACCAUAAUGAGAGCAAAUAUAGAUCCAAUUGUACUGUUUUUUUUUCUAGAUCGAGUGCCUCCGACAAAAUAUUGAGAGCAAAUACUAACUCCUAGUUUCAACAAUGAAGGCUAUGACAUUGAUGGAUCAAAGUUUAGUUGACGAGCUGAUCCUUCAAGUAUUGGUCGGGCAGUUUCCUGUCAAAUGUACGUAUAUAAGAUAUUGUUAGUGCUUAUUAUUUAGCUAUGAAUUGUGAAAAUAUUAGUUUAACAAGUAUAUCUUAACAAGGAUCAAAAAGUUAGA
rnacentral:lncRNA from 1 species